rnacentral:rRNA from 1 species
GUAGUUAGCCGGGGCUUCCUCACAGGUUACCGUCACUUCUUCGUCACCUGCGACAGAGGUUUACAAUCCGAAAACCUUCUUCCCUCACGCGGCGUUGCUGGGUCAGGCUUGCGCCCAUUGCCCAAUAUUCCCCACUGCUGCCUCCCGUAGGAGUCUGGACCGUGUCUCAGUUCCAGUGUGGCCGAUCAGCCUCUCAGCUCGGCUACCCAUCGUUGACUAGGUGGGCCUUUACCCCGCCUACUAUCUAAUGGGACGCGAGCCCCUCCAUCAGCGGAUUGCUCCUUUGACCUCUUUGCCAUGCGGCUUUGUGGUCUUAUGCGGUAUUAGCAACGAUUUCUCGUUGUUAUCCCCCUCUGAUGGUCAGGUUGCUCACGCGUUACUCACCCGUUCGCCACUAAACUUUAAUACCGGUUUCCGUGACCGAAGUCACUUCCGCCUUUAACCAAAGAUCCGUUCGACUUGCAUGUGUUAGGCACGCCGCCAGCGUUCGUCCUGAACCAAGAUCAAAUUCUGA